rnacentral:rRNA from 1 species
GGCUCAGGAUUAACGCUAGCGGCAGGCAUAAUACAUGCAAGUGAAACGAGAUAAGUUGUAGCAAUACGGCUUUGAAAGUGGCGCACGGGUGCGUAACACGUAUGCAACCUACCUUUUACCGGGGAAUAGCCUCUCGAAAGAGAGAUUAAUACCCCAUAAUAUAAUUGACAGGCAUCUGUUGGUUAUUAAAGUUCAGGCGGUAAAAGAUGGGCAUGCGGUUGAUUAGCUAGUUGGUGAGGUAAUGGCUCACCAAGGCUUCGAUCAAUAGGGGGUCUGAGAGGAUGUCCCCCCACACUGGUACUGAGACACGGACCAGACUCCUACGGGAGGCAGCAGUAGGGAAUAUUGGACAAUGGGCGCAAGCCUGAUCCAGCCAUGCCGCGUGCAGGAUGAAGGCCCUAUGGGUCGUAAACUGCUUUUGUACGGGAAGAAAACAUAUUACGUGUAAUAUGCUGACGGUACCGUGAGAAUAAGGAUCGGCUAACUUCGUGCCAGCAGCCGCGGUAAUACGAAGGAUCCAAGCGUUGUCCGGAUUUACUGGGUUUAAAGGGUGCGUAGGCGGACUUUUAAGUCAGUGGUGAAAGCCUGUAGCUUAACUAUAGAAUUGCCAUUGAAACUGAAAGUCUCGAGUGUGGUUGAGGUAACUGGAAUAUAUCAUGUAGCGGUGAAAUGCUUAGAUAUGAUAUAGAACACCAAUUGCGAAGGCAGGUUACUGAGCCACAACUGACGCUGAGGCACGAAAGCGUGGGGAUCAAACAGGAUUAGAUACCCUGGUAGUCCACGCUGUAAACGUUGAAUACUCGAUCUUAGCGAUACACAGUUAGGAUCCAAGCGAAAGCGUUAAGUAUUCCACCUGGGAAGU